CCUCGCCCACACAUAGAUCCCCACAUGUCUGCGCCACACGGGUCUAUGCACCAACACAGCACUCAUACACUUGCCAAACUAGACCCAUGAAGGUGUACCAUGCACCAGUGUUACCAGAGACACCACCAUACACCACUCCCUAUACAGCUGCAGCAUAGCGCAAUACACCCGCUCAUAACGCAAUCAAAUACGAGUAAUGGUCAUCCAAGCAAUGGCUCCGAUCUUUCCCACCCCCCACUAUCCACAAUAGCGCUGAAAUAACUAGAGACACAACUUCUUAGGGGGGGUUACCCCCUGGAUCACUUAGGCCAAAGCGAGACACACUGUCAUCGGAGGUAUCUGCUAACGUGCCCGAGGGGCUAACUUUACUGUCUUAUACCUGCUGAUUCACGCUUACAACACACAAAAAAUCACCCUGCAUGUUAAUGUACAAAUGCAAAUAAAUAUGUAUGUAAAAAUGUAUGCAAACCUCGAGGGCAAUGGCUCAUAAACUAUAUGUUUGAAUCCAUGCUGAGUGACAAAAAAUAAAGAAUUAUAAAAAAAGGCUUCUGCAAGAUGUACAUAAAGUGGACUGUGCAUAUAACUUGGGAGAGUUGGAUAGAUUAAUAUGGGGAACUUCUUGCUUUAAAAAAAAUCUGGAUUUGUAGUGGUUGUGGCGGAACCAACCUCACCACUAUGCACUGGAGAAGCCUGGUUGCUCGCCUGCUGCCUUUAGACUAUGGCCCCUGGGAGAUUGUGAAAACUUAUGGACUUUUAUUGGGUGUGUAUGGCCCUUUAAGACAGUCGUGGGCAUAUUGGGGCUUAUGUACGUUUUAU